AUGUGAUGUAUGCUUUACUCCUUAUUUGAUACUUGCAUUUGUCGCAAGCACCUUGCUGUUCUGAGUAAUGGUUGAUAUCUUACAUUUAGCCGAGAAGCUGAAAACUUAUGAGUUGGAAAACCUUCUAGAUAUACCUAAAAAGACCUUGAAGAUAUCUUCUACUAGACUGGACGAGCUGAUUGACUGGCGAUGGAGAUGCAGCAGUGACCUGCAAUUCUUUCUUCUGUGGAUGGUUCAUUUUGAAAUCUUUUUUAUAUCUGACAAGACACAAGAAAACAACAUAUCUAUCCUGUUAUAUUUACCACUAUCAUCUACAGUGAGUGCUAAGUUGCCCAGAAAUUUUAGUUGACUUCUGUUCAGAGUGAUCUGAAAAAUAGAUAGCAAAAAAGAGUAGUGGGUAUUACAUUUAGAUUAGUUACAUUUGGGCAAAUAAAUGAGUAGAAGUCAAUUUUGUUUGCUUGAUGUUUCACUUCUUUGAUCUCUUCAUCAUUCUCAUUUUGUUCCAUUGCUUACCAUUUGUUCGAAAAAAUUUCUAGCAGUGGCAAGCAUGGCUAGGGCGAGCAACGAGGGUUCCUGUAGUGCAUAACCAUUUCAAGUCGCCCAAGUUCUAAAGAGAGAUCAGAAGUGCCAGCUACUGAAGCAAAAAAAAGGACCUGAUACAAAUUAUAGUCAUGGACUGCUGAUAUACCUGAUGCAUUUCUUCAUGAUGGUCGAUUUCCUUUCGCCAGAUCUUACAUGUUUAAUUAUGUGUGCUCGGAACCAAAAAUUGAUUGAGAUCUUCAGUUCUUACUUGCAGAUGUUCUGUUAUUCAAAGUAAUUCAGUUUCCAGUCUCUGUGUAUUAAUCAAAUUAUGGGUUAUUUUCAACCAUAUAGGCUUUUAUUAUAUGUUCAGUUAUGCUUCCAUGGGUUUUGCAUAUGUAUUAACAAAACAACCAGACUGCUAUUCUGUAUAUACUUGGAUCAAAGGGUGUACAAUUAAUUUGCUCUUACGAAAGGAAUGAGUAGGCAGCUAGCAGAAUGAGAGGACAAUCAUGACAAGCGAACCAACACAUAAAUAGUAAUACCACAAUUUUUACAACUCCAUUUCACUUUACUUUUGUAUGGAUAUGCAUUUUUAUCCUUGGAGUAUUUGGAUUUUAAGUGGGAAUCAUUGGUUCUUUCUUCUUAAUAUUUUACUUCUUAUAAUUACAAAUACCAAUUUUAGAGAAUUGAGCUCGUACUUAAAAUUCAAUUGAGUGUGAAGCCACUGCCCAUUGUGUGAAAGAAACAAUUAGAACCAACUGAUCUUUUUUUAGAUAUAUGAAACUUGCAUUUGUUUUGUUAAUUCUUCUGCAGUGCAGGUGAUAUUCCUAAUGGUUGCUACUGACGCUGAAAAAAUUACGCCUGAAGCACUAGAAGUUCCCUCUCUAUGGCACAUCACUCACUGGAUCCAGAUGGGCAACAUUCCGCUUCAAGAUUAAAGAGUACAAUUUUUGCAUGCUAUCAUUGCUUAUCCAAGAGUAAUCUACCAUGUGCCUAAUAUAUAUACAUGAUUGUUGCACCAUCACAAGAUUUCCAUUAUAUAAAUGGGCAUAACUUUCUUUACUGUGAAUUAAUCAACGUGAUGCUUCUGUUUUAAGGAAUGGCAAUGCUAAAUUCUACAGUGGUACUCUCUACUCUGUCGAAUGUUUACAAACACCAGAAAGCUAGAGAUCUAUUGUGGAAAACUUUCUUUCUUUUGUUUGUUAUAACUUCUUAGUGUAAAAAUAAAUAUGGCUUGUCCAUUACGAAACAAAUAUGUAAGAUUUAUUACUUUUCAAAGUUGAAUUGUUCCUGACAAUUACAUAUGAGAGUGCAUAUAAUUGAGUUGUGCUGACUUGCUGUUUCUAAAAUGAUAAGCUGGAGCUGGAGUUACAUAUGAGAGUAGAGAUAAUUAAGUUGUGCUCCUGACUUGAUUAACAAAAGCUGCAGAAGAAAGGGACAAAAUACCAGAAAGCUGAAAAUUCAAAGAAAGGUGGAAGUAGGGAACUACACAACUUGAUUCAAGGUUACAAAGGGACAAAGGGCAUUGAUUGAGCAGGAGAAAACAAUAAUGGGCCAAGGCAAGGAUAUAGUGCUCAAUUAGUAAAGAGAUAUGUGGGAAGUGGGGCAGCGGGAUGCAAAUGGAAUUUUUGUGACUCACUGAAGGUGAGCAAAACUUCAGAAAAGAAAUUGCAACCGAAGUAGAGCCUCAUCACCAAGAGAACAUAGGGAUUUUAAGUUUUUUGUAGCCUGCACCGGAGACUGUAGAGUUAAGUUUCUACAUCUCAGCGUACAGUUUAACUAUAUCAGGUUAUUUACUAUGUAGUAAAUAUUUUCUUUUGCCAUUGCUGAUCAUGUCCUUCUCUCUGUGCUUGGAAGCAUAAACUUACUUAGUGAUCCUUUUCUAUUAGGCUAAACUUACAUCCUUCUGCUAAUAGUUUAGUGAUAUAAAGAUUCUAAUGAUUAUUCAGAAGGGACAUUGCAUGUUCCUAGAUGCAUAGCCUUUCUUAUAUAUGUUUUCGUAACACUGGAAUUUUUUAGGGAUAACACUGGGAUUUUAGUUUUUUUGUUGAAUUCUGAAAUUGAAAUCCGAAUAAACCAUAUCUUGAAAGGCCAGCAUAAUGGCACUUCAAAUAAAUGCUAAUCUACACUCACACUGCAGGCUGGUGCCCGUUCUUCUGGUGAUUUGGUCAAAGCUACUACUAAGCAAAGAUAUUUUGCAUGCUAUAAGAACCAAGUUAUGGCUUUUGUGUUCCGAGAUAAUAACUAACAAAAAAAUAGGGAAUAAUUAUUUAUAAUACGGUUUACUGAAGAUGCAUUAACUGUAGGUCCUUUGGCAUGCUAACCAUUUUUUGUAGUACUAAAUAUUGUUUCACAAAACCUGUCAUUUCCUUCAUCAUCGAUAAAAGCAUCAACACUUGUGUCACGACCGAAUUUUUUGACCCGGUGAACGACUAAUUCAUUACAACUGAUGUUUGCUCAAUAGGAGAGCGGGACAUUGUGGGCAUUAAUUGUGUGUCAAAGCCUCAAGGGAAGGGAGGACCAAGGAGAAGCCAAGCCGAGAAGGAGAUAACAUUCGGGCCUAGGCCACUCUUACUAGGUGGUGCCCGAGCCCGGCCUAUGGAGGCACGCGGGACAGCGGGAGUUUGAGGGACUAGGCCACUGGGCCUCGAGUUGCACACAUACAUACAGGACCCGCCCUUCCAACAUGAAACAAGUCCACAACAAUAUAAGUCAAAAUCGAGUGGGAGUAUGAGGGAUUACGUAUGGAUCAGAUGCACGGUAUAACUAUUUAUUGAACGGUCUCAUAUGGUGAAAAUUGAGGGUUCUUGUAUACAUGGCGCGGUCCGGUUCGAUGUCUCAUGGUCACAUGCCUAGGCCGCCUCAAUGAUUGAGCUGAGUUACAACCAGGAGCACCAUGCCUCUCAUGUAAGUGCAUUCACAUAUUACAUGGUUACGUGCGAGAAUUUGUUUCUCCUGGUGCAACGCACGGGCAUAUGUCCUAGUUUAAUCUAACAUAUGAAUGCUCUUCUGCACUGUUGGUAAUAGAAAGAAUCAUAGAAUGGUCUAUACGACGUUCAUUGAUGGAGAGUGUAGACAUGCAAUGUGACUGCACUAUACUCGGGAGAAGAUCAUGUUUCCGUAAACAUUCCAGCAACAGCAAUCCAGGGCCUUCUUCUUCUGCUAGUUGUUUUUCUCCUGGGCUUGCUCCUUCUUCUCCUG
rnacentral:rRNA from 1 species